rnacentral:rRNA from 1 species
UACGGAGGGUGCAAGCGUUGUUCGGAAUUACUGGGCGUAAAGCGCGCGUAGGCGGCUCUUUAAGUCAGUUGUGAAAGCCCACGGCUCAACUGUGGAAGCGCAUGUGAAACUGGAGAGCUUGAGUACUGAAGGGGGUGGUGGAAUUCCCGGUGUAGAGGUGAAAUUCGUAGAUAUCGGGAGGAACACCAGUGGCGAAGGCGGCUCACUGGUCCGGUACUGACGCUGAGGUGCGAAAGCGUGGGGAGCAAACAGG